GACGAACGCUGGCGGCGUGCCUAAUACAUGCAAGUCGAACGCAGUGGGGACGGGUGAGUAACACGUGGGUAACCUCCCAUCAGAGGGGAUAACACUUGGAAACAGGUGCUAAACCGAUACUGAUUGAUGGACCAGGGUUGCAUUAGCUAGUUGGGGGGGAAACGGCGCACCAAGGCCACGAUGCAUAGCCGACCUGAGAGGAGGAUCGGCCACACUGGGACUGAGACACGGCCCAGACUCCUACGGGAGGCAGCAGUAGGGAAUCUUCCACAAUGGGCGAAAGUCUGACCGAGCAACGCCGCGUGAGUGAAGAAGGUUUUCGGAUCGUAAAACUCUGUUGUUGGAGAAGCGGUAUCUAACCAGAAAGCCACGGCUAACUACGUGCCAGCAGCCGCGGUAAUUC
rnacentral:rRNA from 1 species